UACGUAGGGUGCAAGCGUUGUCCGGAAUUACUGGGCGUAAAGCGUGCGCAGGCGGCGCGUUAAGACAGGUGUGAAAGCCCCGAGCUUAACUUGGGAAUUGCGCUUGUGACUGGCGUGCUGGAGUGUGGCAGAGGGAGGUGGAAUUCCACGUGUAGCAGUGAAAUGCGUAGAGAUGUGGAGGAACACCGAUGGCGAAGGCAGCCUCCUGGGCCAGCACUGACGCUCAUGCACGAAAGCGUGGGGAGCAAACAGG
rnacentral:rRNA from 1 species